CGCUGGUUUGCCAAACCGCCAUAAAACACCAGAAGAAGAAGAAGAAGAAGGUUCACGGUGGGAACUGAAGACAUUUUCUUUCCAGCCCCGGAGUUUCCAUCAUUCGGUCUAUUUGCACAGUUCUCUCUGCACAUGCAUGUGACUCGGACACAUGAUUUCCCUGUUGCCAAAGGAAGUUUCCAGGUUUGCCUGGUGUGAAUUGAAGUCAUUUUCCUGAAGUGUUUCCAAUGAUUUGCACAACAAGUGAUGUCCAUAUGAAGAGAGAGGCCAUCCUCAGAGCUCUUUGUAUCUACCUUGGUGAGGAUGAGAGAUCCCUGGUGAAGGAAUACAUGAACAGUCAAAGAGAUGACUUCUUGAAAGACCUGGAAAACAUCACCAUGGGCAUAUGUGUCAUUAAAAAGGAAGGAGGUGUUCUUGGAGACUACGACGAUAUUGGAAUCAUUGCACUGUUUUAAUGAUUCACAAACAAACGUAAUGUUGCCCGUUUCCACAUGAAUUUUUUUUAUUAAUUAUUGUGCAAUGUUAAGUCCGCACUACAGUUUUUAACUUUUAUGCAGUUUUAGCAUUGUUGUUUUAAUGAUUCACAUUGUGGCCUCUUUCCACCUGUGAAUUUUUGUUUUUUAUUUUGUGAAUGUGCAACGUUAAGUAAGCACUUGUUUUAAACAUUUGUACCCACA